rnacentral:rRNA from 1 species
CUACGGGAGGCAGCAGGCGCGAAACCUUUACAAUGCACGAAAGUGUGAUAAGGGAAUCCCAAGUGCUUAUGCUUUGCAUAAGCUUUUGCCAAUUGUAAAAAGCUUGGAGAAUAAGUGGUGGGCAAGACCGGUGCCAGCAGCCGCGGUAACACCGGCGCCACAAGUGGGGAUCAACAUUAUUUGGCCUAAAGCGUCCGUAGCCGGUUUGGUAAAUCCUUUGUGAAAUUGUUCGGCUUAACCGACCAACGUGCAGAGGACACUGCUAAACUUGGAACCGGGAGAGGUUGGGAGUAUACUGGGGGGAGCGGUAAAAUGCAAUAAUCCUCGGUAGACUACCGGUGGCGAAGGCGCCCAACCAGAACGGCUUCGACGGUGAGGGACGAAAGCCAGGGGAGCGAACCGGAUUAGAUACCCGAGUAGUC